rnacentral:rRNA from 1 species
UACGUAGGGUGCAAGCGUUGUCCGGAAUUAUUGGGCGUAAAGAGCUCGUAGGCGGUUUGUCGCGUCUGCUGUGAAAUCCGGAGGCUCAACCUCCGGCCUGCAGUGGGUACGGGCAGACUAGAGUGCGGUAGGGGAGAUUGGAAUUCCUGGUGUAGCGGUGGAAUGCGCAGAUAUCAGGAGGAACACCGGUGGCGAAGGCGAGUCUCUGGGCAGUAACUGACGCUGAGGAGCGAAAGCGUGGGGAGCGAACAGG